UCGAUUUGGAGUUUGUUGCCUAGAGUGAUGGGCUCCGAAGCUAACGCGAUAAAUCGACCGCCUGGGGAGUACGGCCGCAAGGUUAAAACUCAAAUGAAUUGACGGGGGCCCGCACAAGCGGUGGAGCAUGUGGUUUAAUUCGAUGCAACGCGAAGAACCUUACCUGGUCUUGACAUCCACAGAAUCUUGCAGAGAUGCGAGGGUGCCUUCGGGAACUGUGAGACAGGUGCUGCAUGGCUGUCGUCAGCUCGUGUUGUGAAAUGUUAGGUUAAGUCCCGCAACGAGCGCAACCCUUAUCCUUUGUUGCCAUCGGUUAGGCCGGGAACUCAAAGGAGACUGCCGUUGAUAAAGCGGAGGAAGGUGGGGACGACGUCAAGUCAUCAUGGCCCUUACGACCAGGGCUACACACGUGCUACAAUGGCGUAUACAAAGGGAGGCGACCUCGCGAGAGCAAGCGGACCUCAUAAAGUACGUCUAAGUCCGGAUUGGAGUCUGCAACUCGACUCCAUGAAGUCGGAAUCGCUAGUAAUCGUGAAUCAGAAUGUCACGGUGAAUACGUUCCCGGGCCU
rnacentral:rRNA from 1 species